CCUGCUGCCGCCCGACGCGCCCGCACACCGCCGGCGCGGCUCGGCGGGGCACGGGCGGCGCGAGUGAAGCUCUUUUUGAUUCACAUCCGGUUGUAUCAUGACUACACUAAAGACAAACCGUUCUACUGCAUGAAUAACUUUGGAGUGGAUUAUCUCUUGCAGUUCAUGUAAUGAACGACUGCACACACCAUUCAAAUGGGCAAAUAGUUGGUGUAUCAGAGACUUGUUUAAAAAGUUAAGAUUUGAUUUUGUGUAACUGAAAUACACCUGGAGAUUAUUUGUCUCAUAUGUGUGUAAAUAUGAAGAGAGCAGUUCCUAGUGUUUACCUUCCUACAGCUCUUCCACUUCAUGGCCUCAGGGGCAAAGACUGCUUUCCUAGUCUGCCUGGUAUGUGGCGUUAGAUACAGCCUUGCUCUUGCUAACAUAUGCUGCUUCAAGCAAGAAAAAUCUUUUGUGUACACGAGGGGGACUUGAGGACUGGGUCCUCAAGAAGGUGGCUUAGUGUAAGUAGUAUAUUGAAAAUAUAAUUCCCCUUGCAGAUGUACAAUACAACAUACUGCCUUCAGUGCUCACUACUGCAUGGUCUGCUGUGCUUUGAGCUGAACAGGACCAUAAAGGUCCUGUUGUCAUUACAGAAAUCUUUUAUAAGCAAUUUCCUGAUAUGCAAUUCACAAGAAGACUCUAGUAAUGGAGAAAUAAAAAGCUGGAUCUGGGUAGCUGACAGCCUUCCUUGCUUGUCUGUAGAAGAUAUGGGUUUACUGGAGGGAGAAAAAUUAUUCUUUGUGCUCUGCAUUAUGGCUGCUCCAUGAUCAUCUGUACCUGGCUUUGUCGUGGGGGUCCAACUUUCUAUCUGAGAUGUAACUAGCUCUUUGCACACCUCAGGGUUUGGACUCCAAAGCAGAACUUGGUAUCAAGUAAUUUUUACAAUUUCAGCUAUAUUAAAGUACUUGAGUAAGUUAGUGUAUGAAUCUCACAAUCCACAGGUUUUGGUGGCAUCUCCAUAAAGAGAUCUCAGACAGAAAAUUUUUCUCCAUCCUUAGCAACAUCCUUAGAGGAACUCUGUUCAAGUGAGGGGCAGGAAUCUGGAUGCUAUGAGAUGGUCUGCAAGAUGGGUGCCAUCUGCAUUGAGGUUUCAUGCUUUUGCAGCAGCAUUAGUCUUUCAAAGGCUUUCUUCAUGUGGGAAUGGGAAGAUACCUGCAGUGUGUAUAAUGAAUAGAGAGUCAUUUGUUCAUACAAGGAUACAAGCCAGAAUAUAUCCAUACAGAAGAAUAGAAUAAAAUUAUGGGUAUCUGUCUGUUAAAAAUAUGCUCAUAGGAGAAUAACAGCCCUGCUGUGCUAGUGAUAAUGUAAGAGCAAAACAUGUACAUGGUCUAAGGUUUAGGAAGGGUGCUGAAUUUUGUAAGGAAUGUGAGCUGCCUCUUGUAAUUGUAACUGCUUUAUUCAUUUUGUUGGGGAAAAUGCUUUAACAUUUUUUUUGUUUCCAUUAGUGACCUACAGUCUUUGUUUUUUUUGCAAUACAUGUUUUGAGUUUAACUUCUUUGGCUCUGGGGAAGUCAGGAGGCUGCAGACAGCAGGUAGAUAAGAAAGUGCACAACCUCAGUACAGAGAGGAAGUGUGUAGGAAAACCUGGCAUUGCCACCUCAGUUAAGCAAGUUCCCACAGUCAAGUGGUAUAUGAUAUUGAAUAUAAUGCAUAAUUGUUUUAGUACUGCUAAUUGUUUUUAGCAAAAUCUCCAAGUCUCCACCCUAUUUUCUGGCUGUAACUGGUGAAUAUUCUUGAAUAUGAGAUGUUGCCUUGGAAAAGCUGGAAAGUACUGUCAAGAAGCUAAGCGAACCACUUAUGCAUUGCCUUCACCUUAAAAUACAAUGCAACAAGAAAAGGCAUCAUAUUACCUUUCCUUUUGGGAAUUGUGGCAGAUAUUGGAUCCCUGAGAUUUUACAAUAUCAAUUCACUGGUUAAUGCACUUGGAUUUACAAAAAAAAUGGAUAAGUGGUCCCAUCCUUUGGUCUGCAUCCUUUGGGAUAAUUAAUUUACUCUGUUGGUUAUAGAGUGUAAAGUCAACUUACAAGAAAAAAUAAAGAACAAAAAGGAUCUUCUGGAGUACGCGUAACAUGAAUUCACUGUGUUUUGUUCCUUUCUCUUAUUGCCUUAAAGACCAUAUAGCCGCAACUUCUAAAUGAAUUCCUGAAGCACUGGGAUUACUAAUUCAGCCUCAGUUCUUAAAUCAGCAGGACUUUUGCAUUCGACACCUUUGGAGAAGGACAUGAUGUGAGGAUGUGCCUACAACAUUCAGCCUAAUCUUUUAAGGAAAAGGAAAGCCUAAUGGGUAGAAAAAACAGCAACUAUGUAUUAUGGGACAACACCCUGUGUUAGGAUCAGUUGCAGAAAUAUUUUCUUCAUUGCCUGCUGGUGUUAAAGGCAUUAACUGCUUUUGAAAUUGCAUGCCUGAACUUACAGUAAAUGAAGGAGCUGUGUUCAUGGCUGUAUUUUGGACAUGCAGAGCCAAGAUCUGUAUUACUGACUUCAGAUGAGUUGUACAGAGGAUAAGAGAAAGCAAAUGUAUCCUUUGGGAAUAUUAUAAAAUAGGUAUGUUCAU